CGGGGUGCAGCAGGCGCGAAAACUUUACAAUGCGGGAAACCGUGAUAAGGGGACACCGAGUGCCAGCAUCAUAUGCUGGCUGUCCGGGUGUGUAAAAUACACCCGUUAGCAAGGGCCGGGCAAGACCGGUGCCAGCCGCCGCGGUAACACCGGCGGCCCGAGUGGUGGUCGUGAUUAUUGGGUCUAAAGGGUCCGUAGCCGGUUUGGUCAGUCCUCCGGGAAAUCUGACGGCUCAACCGUUAGGCUUUCGGGGGAUACUGCCAGGCUUGGAACCGGGAGAGGUAAGAGGUACUACAGGGGUAGGAGUGAAAUCUUGUAAUCCCUGUGAGACCACCUGUGGCGAAGGCGUCUUACCAGAACGGGUUCGACGGUGAGGGACGAAAGCUGGGGGCACGAACCGGAUUAGAUACCCGGGUAGUCCCAGCCGUAAACGAUGCUCGCUAGGUGUCAGGCAUGGCGCGACCGUGUCUGGUGCCGCAGGGAAGCCGUGAAGCGAGCCACCUGGGAAGUACGGCCGCAAGGCUGAAACUUAAAGGAAUUGGCGGGGGAGCAC
rnacentral:rRNA from 1 species